GAUGUUGCUAUGUCGGGCAAGCACGCAAAUCUUUCAGGUUAUCAGCUCGAUUUAGUGUGCAUAGAAUUUAAAUCAUUUGGAGGCCUGUUUGCAACCACAUAAAUCUUUCAGAUAAUCAGCUUGAAUUAAAGUAUGCAUCAGAUUUUAAUUUCAUAGUAGAAAGUCUAUAAUGAUUCACAAGCUCUUUUUAAACCUGUUAUCAAUGAAUGGACGAUGAUAUCCAGUUUGCAUACAUUGUUGUUGCUACGUCAGACCACAUGUGAAAUACCCUCAAACAAUUUUUUUAUUCAGAGAUUGAGAAAAGAAGAGAUGGGUUUAGUGGUGCACUUAAAAAUGACUUGAGCAAUUAUAAACUAUGCUAUGUUGUAAUUGUUUGUAAUAUAUCGCAUAUAUUUAAUUGGACAGGCAAGUUAUGUUAUUCUAUUUUAUCAGCAUUUUGAAUUGUCAUUGUCAUUUUAUUCUCUUGCAAGUUUUAUCAAUUGAUAUUUAUCAGGCAAUGUUACUUCCUUUUUAAAUUCAUCGUUCCCCUUAUUAUCAAGAGAUUUGAAAUCUUCAGAUGUUUUAUGGUUUGUCGGUUGUUUAUGCCUGCACGUCUGAAAGUUUAGGAGGUAUUGGUUAUCAUAUUUUUUUUUAUAUUGGAAUCUUUUUUUCUUACCUACUAGUUAUCAACUGUUAUGCUUUUGCCCCCCCCCCCCAAUUUGCAUGCAUCACCACCAAAACAUCAGUAAUCAUCACACCUCUCGAGUGAACAAAAUGAUGAAUAAGUGAAGGUGAUUAUGGGAGCACAGUAGGUGGUUUCAGACCACCUCGAAGUUCGUCAGUUCCAGGUAUUUUCUGAUCGGGAAAUUUACCCGAUCAGAAAAUACCAGGUAAUAUUGGCAAUGUGAAAGCAAAUUACGCGUAAUCUCCCCGAAAGAAAAUACCCACUAAAUAGUAGGUACUUGUCAAAAUUACGAUAACUUUCGCGGGGAUUUUUCCAAGGUCGCAUGUAUUUUGGCAAUGUGAAAGCAAUUUACGGGAACUUUUAGCCCAGCAUGUAGUUGGGCGCGGGUGCCGUGGGUGGUUGCUGAGCUAGUGAUUUUGAAUCUCGCGCCUUGCCUGCUUAUUAGACCAUACUGCGCAUGCUUGUAACUUCAGGAACUUAUCCCGAAGGGUAUGUUUCGGGGUGGUGUGAAUGCAGGAAUAAUUAUUGGGUAUUUUUAGCCUAAAAAUGUUCUCGUAAUUUAACGGGGAUUCUUAUGAUCGGGGCGGUUUGAAACCACCUACUGUGAUCACUGCUCUAUGAUACCCAUUGGUAUUGUACACUAAAUUAUCAUAGAGGUUAGAUUUAUUUAUUUUAAUUUGAGAAGUUUGACUUCCCCAAUGGGGAAGUCGUGGAAUUUCACUUGGUCAAAAAUGAAUUUUGCCCCUUCCAAUAUGCUUUGGUGCUGCCAAGUACACACUGCAAAAACACCGGUGUUGAUUGUAACACCAGCCUAGUAUCUAUAUUGGUCCACACAAGAGAAGCGUUGAAACAACACCAGUUAUGAAUCAAACCGAUAUUGGUUUAACACUAAUUGGUGUUAGCCUAACGCCAAACCGAUGUUGUUUCAACACCUCUCUGGUGUGGACUGAUAUAGAUACCUGGCUGGUGUUAAAUUAACACCGAUGUUUGUGCAGUGCAUGAAAUACUGAAAUCAUGCAUUUGGAGUUUUCUUUUUAUUUGUUGGUCAUAUUAAACUUCUAAUGAUUUUUUUCUCCUCCCUCCCUUUCUAUUUUUUUUACUUGUAUGUAGCUGUUUAUGUUUCCGUAGGGACACACCCCUUGCCCACCCCAUUGUAGCCACUAAUGUAGAGACAGUGAUUUUCCUUUUUACUGGUAAAUAAAAGGGAAAUUCCGUUUGGUUCGUACACUUUUCAUGUAAAAAAAUCAUGGAAUUCACCUUUGCAAAAUGGAAUUCAGGUUUUUGCUCUGUAAAUUUUCAGUGACAAAACAGAAUUUCAAUUUUUUAGAACAAGCUGAAAUGGAAUUAACAGAUUUUCAGAAACGGAAAAGACCUUUUUUUUAAACGGAAAAUUACUGUCUCAACUAAUGCACCUUAGCAGUCACAUGGUAUAUCAACUAGGGGAAAACCAUUUUUUAUGAGGGGAAUCCCCUCUUAAGAGGGAAAUCCCACGUUCGCAAUUUUUUGUGUUUCAGGAUCACUUGUUAAUAUUGGGUAAACUUCUUUGAUUGAUAGUGGAAUUUUAUUUUUACCUACAUUGUAAAUGGGCCACUCUAUGAAUGUUGUGAUAUCACAACACAGUACACACCAGACUUGACGCUAUCUCAUGUAAUGACUUAUUUUUCUUCAUUCCUUUUCAAAUCCCCUUCUUUAUAAAUGCCAGUUAUCAGGGUAGAGGUCAUUUUUUAUAUUAGAAGUUGUAAAAAAAUGAAGAUAUUGAAAAGAUCUCACAUUUCAAAGACAACUAAUCGCAUUUUUUAAGUUUCGUUUUGUACCGAUUGUGUUUUCAGAUUUGUUAUGUCGUAAAAUGCACAUACGUGAUAUACGGAUGCAUCUCUGAUUGUUUUUAGGCUUUUUUUGUUCAGACUCACACACUAGUAUGACAUAGCCAUGUUAUUGGUAUAGUUAAGUCUGGUGCACACAAGACUACUAAUACAUUGCUUGAAUCAUAGAAUAUAGUUUUGUGAAUGAUAAUUUUCAUAUUUGACCAGGGGGUGUUUCACAAAGGGUAAAGUGUGACUUAAAAAGUAAUGCACCAGUACCAACAUGCAUGUAAGGUUUCAUCGAGUGAAACAUGUGAAAGCGUAUCCCAUCAACUUGAUCUGACCAAUGUGAUCAUGCUUAAUGAUAUAGCUAUCAUUAUGUAACGGGGCAUCCGAGUUUGAUUUUUAAUCCAUCUUAGCUCUUUGUGAAAACACCCCCAUCCCCAGAUUAUAAUAUUCCAUACAGUUUAUUUGUUAAAUACAUGUAUUGAAAUAGGAUUGUAUUUAUUCUCAAUUUCCUGUCAUAAUUGUGAUUUUUUUUAUUCAUUGAUUAUUUUGUCAAUAUGAAUAAUACCGUUGAUAUAAAUGAUGCUAUAAUAUUGCGUGUCGCUGCAAUGUUAAGAUUAAAAACAUGUAAAUCGUGUUUGAAAUAUUAAAAAAAGAAAA